rnacentral:lncRNA from 1 species
UUGACCGCCGAGUGAACAGUACCGCGCGUGAACAGUGCGGUGCGUGAACAGUGGACGACGUACCGAGUUAUUGCUCGAUGACGGAACACGAAUGCGUGAUCGUCGGAAUAGUACUUUUGCAGGCGAAUUAGUGAGGUCGGGCGUACACGGAGUUGAGGCAUAGUCAACAGCAUGACUUCCGCGUUUGCCUUUGAGUUAGGUCUUGUGCUACAGUAAUAGGUGUUUGAUCAAGGGCAAACCUGUCAGUUGAUUGAACUCUGAUUAGUUUGUUCAAGGAACAUCCCUUUCUUGGGUAGGCAGUAAUCAAUCUGUAUGUGAACUUUGGAGUAAAGUAGUGAGGAAAAGAAAGGCGCGCAUAGUUGGAGGUCAUGAUUUGCAUGCAAAAGCAAAUCUGCAGGGCUUGUGUUGUGAGCUAUCUCAAAGAUGCUUUUCUUUCUGCUUAAAUUAUACACUAGGUUUCUUCUUUAAUCUUGUUUUUAAUUGUUGUCUCCCUCAUAUUUUCCAUUGUUGAAACUGUUCAACAUCAUGUUCAAGCCAGCCCAAUUCCUUUCUAAAGUACGUGGUUCAGAUUCAUAUACAUAUGGUGGGAUUGAUGCACUUUCAUAGAACUGCAUUAAUGGGCCACAAAACAAAUAAAUAAACAAAAUUUGUUAACCAUAUGUUAUGCUCUUUGAAGGCGGUUGU